rnacentral:rRNA from 1 species
UAUCUCUGUAGAGUCUGCAUAUCAAUAAGCGGAGGAAAAGAAACUAACUAGGAUUCCCUCAGUAACGGCGAGUGAAGCGGGAAGAGCUCAAAUUUGAAAUCUUCAAGGUUCUACCUUGACGAAUUGUAGUUUAAAGAAGUGUUUUCUGUUGGAGUUUUGGUAAAAGUUCUUUGGAAUAGGACAUCAUAGAGGGUGAGAAUCCCGUAUUUGACCAUUAUUUCCAGCUUUGUGAUACACUUUCAAAGAGUCGGAUUGUUUGGGAAUGCAGUCCAAAAUGGGUGGUAAAUUUCAUCUAAAGCUAAAUAUUGGCGAGAGACCGAUAGCGAACAAGUACCGUGAGGGAAAGAUGAAAAGAACUUUGAAAGAGAGUUAAACAGUACGUGAAAUUGUCAAAAGGGAAGCGUUUGACACCAGUGUUGUUUUCUCGAAAAUCAAUUAAAAAAGGCAGGAUUUUGUGUUGUAUUGACUUUAUCAGCUUUCUGCACUCUUUUCUUGUCUUUUUUAAUGCACUUUUCGUUUAACAAGUCAACAUCAAUUUCUUUUGUUGUAAAAGGGUCAUUGGAAGGUGGCUUUCUUUUCGGAGAAAGUGUUUAUAGCCUUUGGCCUCUGCAAUCGGAGAGAUUGAGGUCUGCAGCGUAGAUCCUUCGGGGUUAGAUACAUUUGUGCUAAGUUAUAGCCUUUCAUAGACAACUUGUUGACUAUGAUCAGUCAUGUAGCUUACUCGCUUAUGCUAUUUUACCUACGCUUAGGAUGUUGAGUCAUCACACAUCUCU